AGUGAACGCUGGCGGCAGGCCUAAUACAUGCAAGUCGAACGGCAGCACAAGGGAGCUUGCUCCCUGGGUGGCGAGUGGCGGACGGGUGAGGAAUACAUCGGAAUCUGCCUAUUUGUGGGGGAUAACGUAGGGAAACUUACGCUAAUACCGCAUACGACCUACGGGUGAAAGCGGAGGACCUUCGGGCUUCGCGCAGAUAGAUGAGCCGAUGUCGGAUUAGCUUGUUGGCGGGGUAACGGCCCACCAAGGCGACGAUCCGUAGCUGGUCUGAGAGGAUGAUCAGCCACACUGGAACUGAGACACGGUCCAGACUCCUACGGGAGGCAGCAGUAGGGAAUAUUGGACAAUGGGCGCAAGCCUGAUCCAGCCAUGCCGCGUGAGUGAAGAAGGCCCUCGGGUUGUAAAGCUCUUUUGUCCGGAAAGAAAAGCGCUCGGUUAAUACCCAAGCGUCCUGACGGUACCGGAAGAAUAAGCACCGGCUAACUUCGUGCCAGCCGCCGCCGUAACAC
rnacentral:rRNA from 1 species